rnacentral:rRNA from 1 species
AACGAACGCUGGCGGCAGGCUUAACACAUGCAAGUCGAACGCAUCCUUCGGGGUGAGUGGCAGACGGGUGAGUAACGCGUGGGAACGUGCCCUUCCGUUCGGGAUAACCCAGGGAAAAUUGGGCUAAUACCGGAUACGUGCGAGAGCAGAAAGAUUUAUCGCUGAAGGAUCGGCCCGCGUCUGAUUAGCUAGUUGGUAGGAGAAUGGCCCACCAAGGCGACGAUCAGUAGCUGGUCUGAGAGGAUGAGCAGCCACAUUGGGACUGAGACACGGCCCAAACUCCUACGGGAGGCAGCAGUGGGGAAUAUUGGACAAUGGGCGCAAGCCUGAUCCAGCCAUGCCGCGUGAGUGAUGAAGGCCUUAGGGUUGUAAAGCUCUUUCGUCCGGGACGAUAAUGACGGUACCGGAAGAAGAAGCCCCGGCUAACUUCGUGCCAGCCGCCGCUGUAA